AUGGGAGGAAAAAGUUAUAGCCUGUCACGUGAAUUUGCUGUAACAAUCUUACUGUUAAAAAUUGUGAAUUUCUUUAUAAUAGUAAGAUCAAGUGGUCUGUUCAGACUUUGUUAAAAACCUGCUCAUUUUCUGAAUCUGAAAUUGCCAUUGAAUCGGGUUCUUACUGCCAAGCUCUGUAUUUGUGAAAAUAAAGGAAGAAAAUGAAGUGUUUUGGAUUUCUUGUGUUGAUGGCUUGCCUUUUCGCUGUUCUGAAUGCCGACAGUUGCGGUGAACGCUAUGAACGAGCACAAGCAAUGCUCGAACAACAUGUUGCAGACGUUCCUGUUCCUAAUUGUAACGCAGAUGGUACAUACGCUCCACGGCAAUAUGGCAGUUUUGGAAAUUGUUACUGCGUUGAUCUAGAAGGAAACAGAGUGAACCAAAAGUGCCCAUGUGAAUAAAAUGCCUGUUUUAUUCCCUAUGUUCUGGAAAUUUAUAUAAAUUUUGCUCAAAAUAAACAAAGACGUACAUUUUUGCCUUAA